rnacentral:piRNA from 1 species
UGUGUGAAUGCAUUUGCCCAAUACAUUGGUGU